rnacentral:ncRNA from 1 species
GUGAAGCGCUAACGCCAGUUAGUGUGGAGUCGUCGUUGAAAUACCAGUCUGGUCGUGCUGGAUGUCUAACCUGGGUCCGUGAUCCGGAUCAGGGACAGUGUCUGAUGGGUAGUUUAACUGGGGCGGUUGCCUCCUAAAGAGUAACGGAGGCGCCCAAAGGUUCCCUCAGCCUGGUUGGCAAUCAGGUGUUGAGUGUAAGUGCACAAGGGAGCUUGACUGUGAGACCGAGGUCGAGCAGGGACGAAAGUCGGGACUAGUGAUCGGCGGUGGC